UACGGAGGAUGCAAGCGUUAUCCGGAUUUAUUGGGUUUAAAGGGUCCGCAGGCGGGUUCAUAAGUCAGCGGUGAAAUCCUGCAGCUUAACUGUAGAACUGCCAUUGAUACUGUGAUUCUUGAAUAUGGUCGACGUGGGCGGAAUAUGACAUGUAGCGGUGAAAUGCAUAGAUAUGUCAUAGAACACCAAUUGCGAAGGCAGCUCACGAGACCAUUAUUGACGCUCAGGGACGAAAGCGUGGGUAGCGAACAGG
rnacentral:rRNA from 1 species